rnacentral:rRNA from 1 species
UACGGAGGAUGCGAGCGUUAUCCGGAUUUAUUGGGUUUAAAGGGUGCGUAGGCGGACGCUUAAGUCAGCGGUAAAAUUGCGGGGCUCAACCUCGUCGAGCCGUUGAAACUGGGUGCCUUGAGUGGGCGAGAAGUACGCGGAAUGCGUGGUGUAGCGGUGAAAUGCAUAGAUAUCACGCAGAACUCCGAUUGCGAAGGCAGCGUACCGGCGCCCAACUGACACUGAGGCUCGAAAGCGUGGGGAGCAAACAGG